rnacentral:rRNA from 1 species
AGCGAACGCUGGCGGCAGGCCUAACACAUGCAAGUCGAACGAACCCUUCGGAGUUAGUGGCGGACGGGUGAGUAACACGUGGGAACGUGCCUUUAGGUUCGGAAUAACUCAGGGAAACUUGUGCUAAUACCGAAUGUGCCCUUCGGGGGAAAGAUUUAUCGCCUUUAGAGCGGCCCGCGUCUGAUUAGCUAGUUGGUGAGGUAACGGCUCACCAAGGCGACGAUCAGUAGCUGGUCUGAGAGGAUGACCAGCCACACUGGGACUGAGACACGGCCCAGACUCCUACGGGAGGCAGCAGUGGGGAAUCUUGCGCAAUGGGCGAAAGCCUGACGCAGCCAUGCCGCGUGAAUGAUGAAGGUCUUAGGAUUGUAAAAUUCCUUCACCGGGGACGAUAAUGACGGUACCCGGAGAAGAAGCCCCGGCUAACUUCGUGCCAGCAGCCGCGGUAAAAC